rnacentral:rRNA from 1 species
GAUGAACGAUGGCGGCGUGCCUAAUACAUGCAAGUCGAGCGAACGGACGAGAAGCUUGCUUCUCUGAUGUUAGCGGCGGACGGGUGAGUAACACGUGGAUAACCUACCUAUAAGACUGGGAUAACUUCGGGAAACCGGAGCUAAUACCGGAUAAUAUUUUGAACCGCAUGGUUCAAAAGUGAAAGACGGUCUUGCUGUCACUUAUAGAUGGAUCCGCGCUGCAUUAGCUAGUUGGUAAGGUAACGGCUUACCAAGGCAACGAUGCAUAGCCGACCUGAGAGGGUGAUCGGCCACACUGGAACUGAGACACGGUCCAGACUCCUACGGGAGGCAGCAGUAGGGAAUCUUCCGCAAUGGGCGAAAGCCUGACGGAGCAACGCCGCGUGAGUGAUGAAGGUCUUCGGAUCGUAAAACUCUGUUAUUAGGGAAGAACAUAUGUGUAAGUAACUGUGCACAUCUUGACGGUACCUAAUCAGAAAGCCACGGCUAACUACGU